rnacentral:rRNA from 1 species
UACGUAGGGAGCAAGCGUUGUCCGGAAUCAUUGGGCGUAAAGCGCGCGUAGGUGGCCCUGUAAGUCCGCUGUGAAAGUCAAAGGCUCAACCUUUGAAAGCCGGUGGAUACUGUCGGGCUAGAGUGCGGAAGAGGCGAGUGGAAUUCCUGGUGUAGCGGUGAAAUGCGCAGAUAUCAGGAGGAACACCGAUUGCGAAGGCAGCUCGCUGGGACGUAACUGACGCUGAGACGCGAAAGCGUGGGGAGCAAACAGG